rnacentral:rRNA from 1 species
UACGUAGGUGACCAGCGUUGUCCGGAUUUACUGGGCGUAAAGAGCGCGCAGGCGGUCGUUCAAGUCGAGUGUGAAAGCCCCCGGCUCAACUGGGGAGGGUCAUUCGAUACUGAUCGACAGGAAGGCAGGAGAGGGAAGCGGAAUUCCCGGUGUAGUGGUGAAAUGCGUAGAUAUCGGGAGGAACACCAGUGGCGAAGGCGGCUUCCUGGCCUGUUCUUGACGCUGAGGCGCGAAAGCUAGGGGAGCAAACGGG